GUUGCUGAUGGAAAGGAUUUUGCUGGAAGGGUUGCUGCUGGAAUGCUUGGAAGGCACGAGUUGGGGGUGGUGGUGGUGGUGGUGGCAGUGUAACUGGCUGUGCUUGCCUGUGUGGAGUCGUGGACGUCCCUCCAGGCAGAGGAAGUACCUCUGACAAUCAUGCGGAGAACGGAAGAAACGUGCCUCACCCUGCCCGAGACCCUCAACACGAGCUUCCGGUGGACACGUGAACCCAAGGAAGGCUUCAGCAUCGCAAUCAGGCACCUGAUCGGCCCAAUCGCAGCGAUAUGUUGCAGCAUUGAAUGCUAAUCCUUCGGGACAAUCAAACACAAAUCCCUUCCCAUUGACACAAUUCAUAAACUGCCCACAAUGCGAUGCAUCUCCAAGGCGGUAAUAGCCAAAUUGAUGAGGACAUUCAUCAGUGGAUUGGGCAGCUUGCAGCGAAGUCCUCCCUUGGGGGCAUUCCACGUCAAUUGGAUACGAGCAGGGAUAGGUGAAGACACCUGCCUUUUCGUUGAACAACAACCCAUCGGGGCAGAGCUUCUCCUCACUCACCCCAUCGCGGCACUCAAUGUACGCAUCACACUGCCCUGAGACAGGAUACCUUCCAUUGGCUUCAGGGCACUGAUGUGAGCGCUGUAGUGGCUGCGAUGUCUGCUGCAGUGGCUGCCUGAAGGCUCCAAAAGCAUUAAAUCUCUGUGCCUCAUUGAAUUGUGCCACAACUGCAAAAGAUGAGCCAACAUUGAAAAUACUCUAUAAGUCAGUCAAAAUUAUGUUAAUUAAUUUUUUUUUUUUGUAAUUUCGUGUCUUCUAAUACGCAAAGACAAGCAAAAGAUGCUCACCAAGAGACCCUGAAGGUCGUCUGGAAAGCGAAAGUAUUUCCGAGAGACUCUUUUUUUUUGUCUUUGCUGAUUUAUGAUUUUAUUCAUCUUUAGAGAGGAUUUGCUUGAAUUUUGAGAAGAAAAAAUUAACGUGAGAAGAAUAAUUCUUAAAUUAUUUAAUUUUGAAUGAAAAUAAAUUGUUUGAAUAAAAAUAAAUUAUUGAGAAAUCAUUGAAGCGCUCAAAUUUAAUUUAAAAAAAACUUUUAGAACAAAUUAAAGAAAUAAAAGACACGUGCUUUCAAUUUAAUAAAAUCAAUUUUAGAGGAAUCUUUAGUCAGAAAUUGUAGAUAUUUUUAACAUUUUAAUGUAACUGAAAAUCGUUAAAAUAAAAGAAUAUUUAAAAAGAAA